UUAGAACAGAAUGAGUCAGCACAUAAAAGCUCAGUUGAAGUCGCAAACCAAAGGAGGCCAUCUAGUAAGGUCAAUGUAUUAACUCAACAACCAACGGAUAAUCAACAACAUUCAAGUGGAGAUGGACAAUGGACGAUUGCCAAUAAAACAGUAACUCUUGACAUUGCGUCACAGAAUACAGACAUAUUUGCAGAAUAUAAUGCACAAACAAGCAAAUCGUGGAACCAAUUUUCAGCGAUUCGUCAAAACAAGUCUGCUUUAUCAACUCAUGUACAGAAUCAGAAAACGAGGAAGCUCCCAAUGAGAGUUACAAAACAAAAACAGGUCGCUCGGCUCCCUGGUUCAUAAUCCAGUCCAGCAACAAGCAUACCAUGAAUUCUGAUGUCUUUUUAACAAAAAUAGUGAUCGAAGGCAGUAAAUUACAAUCUGG
rnacentral:lncRNA from 1 species